GGAAAAAGGAAUGAUUAAUACCCCRUAAUAUAAUGAGUGGCAUCACUURUUAUUGAAAACUCCGAGUGGAURGAGAUGGGCRCGCGCAAGAUUAGAUAGUUGGUAGGGUAACGGCYUACCAAGUCAGUGRUCUUUAGGGGGCCUGAGAGGGUGAUCCCCCACACUGGUACUGAGACACGGACCAGACUCCUACGGGAGGCAGCAGUGAGGAAUAUUGGACAAUGGGUGAGAGCCUGAUCCAGCCAUCCCGCGUGAAGGACGACGGCCCUAUGGGUUGUAAACUUCUUUUGUAUAGGGAUAAACCUUUCCACGUMUGGAAAGCUGAAGGUACUAUACGAAUAAGCACCGGCUAACUCCGUGCCAGCCGMCGCGGUAAUAC
rnacentral:rRNA from 1 species